rnacentral:rRNA from 1 species
GACAAACGCUGGCGGCGUGCUUAACACAUGCAAGUCGAACGGAAAGGCCCUGCUUUUGUGGGGUGCUCGAGUGGCGAACGGGUGAGUAACACGUGAGUAACCUGCCCUUGACUUUGGGAUAACUUCAGGAAACUGGGGCUAAUACCGGAUAGGAGCUCCUGCUGCAUGGUGGGGGUUGGAAAGUUUCGGCGGUUGGGGAUGGACUCGCGGCUUAUCAGCUUGUUGGUGGGGUAGUGGCUUACCAAGGCUUUGACGGGUAGCCGGCCUGAGAGGGUGACCGGCCAAUUGGGGACGGGGAAGCCGCCCAGACCCCCGGGGGAGGCAGGAGGGGGGAAUUUUGCAAAAGGGGGGGAAACCUGACGCAGCAGCCGCGCGGGGGGGGAGGGGGCCCUGGGGGUGAAAACCGUUUUCCCCUGAGAACGAGCGGGAGUCGCGGAUAGGGGUAAAAAAACCCCCGCUAAAUGCG